rnacentral:rRNA from 1 species
CCUACGGGUGGCAGCAGUGAGGAAUAUUGGUCAAUGGACGAGAGUCUGAACCAGCCAAGUAGCGUGAAGGAUGACUGCCCUAUGGGUUGUAAACUUCUUUUAUAUGGGAAUAAACUGUUCCACGUGUGGGCUUUUGUAUGUACCAUAUGAAUAAGGAUCGGCUAACUCCGUGCCAGCAGCCGCGGUAAUACGGAGGUUCCGAGCGUUAUCCGGAUUUAUUGUGUUUAAAGGGAGCGUAGGUGGAUUGUUAAGUCAGUUGUGAAAGUUUGCGGCUCAACCGUAAAAUUGCAGUUGAAACUGGCAGUCUUGAGUACAGUAGAGGUGGGCGGAAUUCGUGGUGUAGCGGUGAAAUGCUUAGAUAUCACGAAGAACUCCGAUUGCGAAGGCAGCUCACUGGACUGCAACUGACACUGAUGCUCGAAAGUGUGGGUAUCAAACAGGAUUAGAUACCCCUGUAGUC